rnacentral:lncRNA from 1 species
UUUGCGUGAUCCUUCUGCACAGUUUAUUAAGGAAACUUCUUAGUCCAAAUCCAAGUCAAAUCAGUUUCAGUUGCAAGUAAAGGAUUUUUCCCCUAAACUGUAAAGAAGAAUGCAGUGUAGGAUAUGGAAUCCCAUUUGCUUCGGAUUGUUGUACUGGGAAGCAAAAUUCCUUAGAGCCCCUAGAGGUAAAAACAAGCUAAGAGCCCCAAGUGGCAGGAAGAACCGUGGGCAAAAAAACGACCCUUUGGGUUCAUUGGAAUAAUAAUAACUCAUGACAUUUCCUGUUCAGUGUUCAGAGUACAAGAACCACUUCCUCCAGCCACCAGAAAUUUGAAGACUUUCCAUGAAAAAUGAGGAAGAAAAACUCUUUAACAUGUUGUGAACGUGAUGGCUGAACCUGGGAGGCGGGAAGAGAACAGGGGUUCUGUCACACAAGUCCUGUCUGCACCACGGCCUCUGCCAGCUCCGUCCUCCUUACUUCCCCCAAAUAGGAAGGGAACCUUUUUUCUGAGGUUCUGACUCUUUAAAAACAUUUGCUCCUCUCUGCAAUGU